rnacentral:rRNA from 1 species
AUUGAACGCUGGCGGCAGGCCUAAAACAUGCAAGUCGAGCGAGCGGCGGACGGGUGAGUAAUGUAUGGGGACUGCCCGAUAGAGGGGGAUAACUACAGGAAACGGUGGCUAAUACCGCAUACUAUCGGAUAACCCAUAUGGGAUUAGCGAGUAGGUGGGGUAAAGGCUAACCUAGGCGACGAUCCCUAGCUGGUCUGAGAGGAGGAUCAGCCCCCCUGGGACUGAGACACGGCCCAGACUCCUACGGAGGCAGCAGUGGGGAAUAUUGCACAAUUGGCGCAAGCCUGAUGCAGCCAUGCCGCUUGUAUGAAGCAGGCCUUAGGGUUGUAAAGUACUUUCAGCGGGUAGGCGUUACCCGCAGAAGAAGCACCGGCUAACUCCGUGCCAGCAGCCGCGGUAAUAC